GGAAGAACAGAAAAUUGGAGGGCAAGAGAAGUUAAGUUCCAUCCUUGUUUACCUGUCUACAGUGUCCUCAGUACAUUGGUCAAGGCUGGAUAGUCAGUAGAACUGAAGAGGCCAUUAGGUUAUUUAAAGAAGGGUAAUGCAGUAGCUGCCUUUACUGAUCACAGUCAGACAACCAGCUAGAAAAAUGGCAGUUUGAAUCCUGGCACACAGAGAUGACCACACCAAAAUGACUAUCCCAGCUUCCCAACCUUGGCCUUGGCAGUAUGUAAAUUAUUUCCACUCCAGGAGUUACUCCUGCUGCUUCAUUGCCUCUCCCCAGAGAAGCCACUUUGGGCGUUCAACAAUCAAGUUCAAGGUAUGAUUAGACCAGUGACAAAGCCAUUGAUUCUGAGAGCCACCAGAGCAGAUGUUUUCAAUUGAGUUAGACUUUAUGUGAAAGCAUAGUGGAAUUAAAACUUUUACUGUUGUGUGCCCACUUCAGACCAUAAGAAAACGCAAUUGCUUUUUUAAAUUUCCAAAUUUUCUAACCAGGAAUUUUGAUCAAAACCAAACUAACCUAACUAAAUGCCAAAACCUAACCAAAAUGCUAACAUUGUAUCUUCUUACUGGUACAUGCAGAACAGACUUACUCCACCAUCCAAGAACUGUAUGAUGGAGAAAUAUUUACAGGUACAAAUCUCUAAUAUAUGAUCUAAAAAGAAGUCACCUAGUUGCCAAAUCUGAGUUCAGAAGUUUAAAAAUUUCUUAUACUUCUUAUAUGGACUUUUGCUCCUUUUUGUUUUUACUCCCACUCUGAAACCACCAGCACCAUUUCCCUAAC
rnacentral:lncRNA from 1 species